AACGAACGCUGGCGGCAGGCUUAACACAUGCAAGUCGAGCGCCCCGCAAGGGGAGCGGCAGACGGGUGAGUAACGCGUGGGAAUCUACCCAUCACUACGGAACAACUCCGGGAAACUGGAGCUAAUACCGUAUACGUCCUUCGGGAGAAAGAUUUAUCGGUGAUGGAUGAGCCCGCGUUGGAUUAGCUAGUUGGUGGGGUAAUGGCCCACCAAGGCGACGAUCCAUAGCUGGUCUGAGAGGAUGAUCAGCCACACUGGGACUGAGACACGGCCCAGACUCCUACGGGAGGCAGCAGUGGGGAAUAUUGGACAAUGGGCGCAAGCCUGAUCCAGCCAUGCCGCGUGAGUGAUGAAGGCCCUAGGGUUGUAAAGCUCUUUCACCGGUGAAGAUAAUGACGGUAACCGGAGAAGAAGCCCCGGCUAACUUCGUGCCAGCAGCCGCGGUAAAAC
rnacentral:rRNA from 1 species